GUGCUUGUUUCGGCAGCACAUACGCUAAAAUUGAAACGAUACAGAGAAGAUUAGUAUGGCUCCUGCAUAAGGAUGACAUGCAAAUACAUAAAGUGUUUCAUAUUUUU